GCAUAAAACUCUGGAAAGCGGACCAGCACGCUGCAUGGUCCCACCGAAGGAGCAACCGACCCUUGCGGCUCGGGAAAUCUCUCAGGUGUCGAGGACAGAGGGGGCACG
rnacentral:ncRNA from 2 species